rnacentral:tRNA from 1 species
AAGGAUUUAAGUUAAAAAAACUAUUAACCUUCAAAGUUAAAAUUAGAUUAAAAUCUAAGCCUUA